rnacentral:rRNA from 1 species
UACGUAGGGAGCGAGCGUUGUCCGGAUUUAUUGGGCGUAAAGGGCGUGUAGGCGGCUUGUUAAGUCUGAGGUGAAAAUCCAGGGCUCAACCCUGGAACUGCCUCGGAUACUGGCGAGCUUGAGUGCUCUAGAGGGCAGUGGAAUUCCCGGUGUAGCAGUGAAAUGCGUAGAGAUCGGGAGGAACACCAGUGGCGAAGGCGACUGCCUGGGGAGUAACUGAC